CGGACGGGUGAGUAAUGCCUAGGAAUCUGCCUGGUAGUGGGGGACAACGUUUCGAAAGGAACGCUAAUACCGCAUACGUCCUACGGGAGAAAGCAGGGGACCUUCGGGCCUUGCGCUAUCAGAUGAGCCUAGGUCGGAUUAGCUAGUUGGUGAGGUAAUGGCUCACCAAGGCGACGAUCCGUAACUGGUCUUAGAGGAUGAUCAGUCACACUGGAACUGAGACACGGUCCAG
rnacentral:rRNA from 1 species